rnacentral:rRNA from 1 species
AUUGAACGCUGGCGGCAGGCCUAACACAUGCAAGUCGAGCGGAUGAAGGGAGCUUGCUCCUGGAUUCAGCGGCGGACGGGUGAGUAAUGCCUAGGAAUCUGCCUGGUAGUGGGGGAUAACGUCCGGAAACGGGCGCUAAUACCGCAUACGUCCUGAGGGAGAAAGUGGGGGAUCUUCGGACCUCACGCUAUCAGAUGAGCCUAGGUCGGAUUAGCUAGUUGGUGGGGUAAAGGCCUACCAAGGCGACGAUCCGUAACUGGUCUGAGAGGCUGAUCAGUCACACUGGAACUGAGACACGGUCCAGACUCCUACGGGAGGCAGCAGUGGGGAAUAUUGGACAAUGGGCGGAAGCCUGAUCCAGCCAUGCCGCGUGUGUGAAGAAGGUCUUCGGAUUGUAAAGCACUUUAAGUUGGGAGGAAGGGCAGUAAGUUAAUACCUUGCUGUUUUGACGGUACCAACAGAAUAAGCACCGGCUAACUUCGUG